AAAGCAGUAAUAGUGGCAGGUACACCACCGGUGGGGAAGAGGGCGGCGGGGCGUCCCGUACUCCCGUCCCUCCCGCCGCCACUCCGCUUUCAACUUCGUGACGGAAGGGUGGGCCAGUUUUCACCCACAGAAAACAACUUAACGCGGCCUUUCACAGCAUAUACAAACCGAAAUACAAGUUUCGCAGUGUUUACUGAAUUGCUGGGCAAUCUUUGGACACUCCCAAACCGGUCCUGAGAAAACUGCGGUGGUGUUGAUCUGGCGUGUGAAAUCGUAAAGUUCAGCCGAUUAUGAUGUCUGUUCCGAAAGGAAAAAUGAGGACUGAGUGCAAAGUGUAUGUGGGGAACCUUGGCAAUGCUGAUGCCAAGCAUGAGCUGGAAUCAGCUUUCUCCAAGUAUGGCCCUCUGGUCAAUGUGUGGGUAGCCCGCAAUCCCCCUGGGUUUGCCUUUGUUGAGUUUGAGGACCCAAGGGAUGCUGAGGACUCUGUGCGGGCUCUGGAUGGCACUCGACUAUGUGGUGUGAGGGUGAAGGUGGAAAUGUCAACUGGACGUUCUCGCCGUGACCGCUUCCACUCUCCUCCACGGCGAGGGGGCGCCGGCGCAAGGAGAUCAAGGAAUAUCUGGCCCCAAUUUCUUCUUGUUCCACCACCUACUCCUACUGUUGCUCCCACACCACCACCACCACCACCACCAUCACCACCACCACAAGUACUGCCAACACCAUCUCCAUCACCACCUCUAGCAGUAGCAGCAGCAGCAGCAGUCUGUCAGCAGCCUUGCGGGUCUCCUCCAACCUUGAGCUGGUCCCGAGUUCGGAUCCACUGGCCUUCCAGCCUCCUGCAACCAGCCUGACCAGAAACCAGCAGCUGGUUGUCCCUCAGAGGCACUUUCCAGUCAGCUGGGAAUAAUUUUUCCCCACUAACUGGGCUGGGCCAGCUGCUGGUUUCUCUUCAGUAGUGGGGGCCAAUCUCACCAAAUUCUCAUACGCCCGACAACGCUAAAACGCAGCGUGGGCCCCCGCCCAGCACUCACCCGCCCCUGAGUACUCCAUUUGACCUCCCUCCUCGCCUCUGAACCCCCGGUGCCCAGCCAUCACACGGGGCUUUUCCAGCGUUGACCUGCUGUAGGCCAGCCAUGCCACUGUCGGUCAAGGGUGUUUGCCCCCACUUUCUCGCGUACGGCGCACACCCACCUGGCUCAACAUAACUGCUACUACUACUACCACCUACUACUACCACUACUACUACUACUACUACCACCCUGUCUGUUUGAACAUCCUAUCCAUAGUCACAAACUACAGGUCGCGCUCCCCACGGAGGUUUGGGGGCAGCCGAGGACGAUCGCGCUCCCGCUCCCCCAGGCGCUCCAGGUCCCGCUCCCCAAGGCCAGCUCGCCGUGGCUCCCCAAGGUAUGAUGACUACCACCGCCGCAGUGAAUCACCACAGCCCAAGAGGCGCUCACGCUCGAGGUCAUAAGUCCAGGCUGUCUGUUGGACAAAGGCUUGGAGUGGCUGGCCACAGAAGAGGGAUGUUCCAGAAAGUGGUAUUUGGUGUGGCCAACACAGCGUAUAUUUUUUUAUGGGUGGUGAGUUAAAACUGAAUGGUGGUGACUGUCUAGUAAAGUUGUUUGUGGACUAACUCAGCUGAUGGUCUCCAGCCAGAGGCCCUGUGUAGUCCUUGGCAGUGCACUGAGGAUUGAUAAGACACCACACUGCAGAAGCUGGUGGUGACUUGUAUCUACUUUGCCUCUUGGAUCAUUCACUGUCCUCCCCCAUAAGUGGUCGUUAUGCAUUGUCCCUUUUGAUAUAUAAAAAAAACACCUAAGGCUUGAUUAUUGUAAAAGGUAGUAAUAAGGUCAGCUUUCUGCUUUUUAUUUUACAGAGGAUCAUCUCCAAUUUGUGGAUAAAGCUUUCUACCUGAACAUUUUGUCUUUGAACAUUUUUCUUCUCUUUAAUAGAAGGUUUUGGCACUUGCACUUGAUUUUCAGUCAUGAUGUUCAUUUCAAAUCAUUAGUGUAUAAGGAGAUAAAUGUGUUUCAUUACAGCAAUCUUGUAGCUUUCAUGAUCUUUCGGUUGUAUUUACUUAUAAAAACAGUACUUCUUGAUGUUAGAUUCAUCACUCAAAUUGCUAAAGAUGCCCAGUGCUUCAUGAUGCAAGCUUUGUAACGGAACAAAUCUCUUCCUAAUUGCAAGGUGCACACAUCAAGUUUGUGUUGUGAAGUUUUGCAAAUUUGGUAAGUUUGUGUGGUGGAUUAUCUCAGACUUGUCAUGCUUACUACAUUUGUAAAAUUAGAAAACAACUAACUGUUUUAGACCAUAGUAGAGAACCAAAUGGUAUGGUCCAUUUCAAACUGUGAUGCUUAUUAUUUUUUAUUAUUUUUAUUUAUAUAUGUAUUUUUUUUUAUAGUUUGAUAUUGUCUUUGGUCUGCAGAAGGAAUGCAGUGUUUUGCCAGUCACUUUAUUGGGUGCAAAGCCCAUGAGUGUGUGGCACUUGACAGCCUUCCCCCUGCCAUCAUACCAUGUAGUUCACUUACCAGGAAUUUAUGUACAAUUGUCUGUGGAAGUAUAAAAUAUUCUUAUGUAAGCUUUUUUUUUUUUAACUUUUUUCCAUGCCAGUAGAUUUUCUUUUCUAAGCAUUUCAAUUAUGUUGAAGAAAAUAGAUUAUCCAUACCUGAUCAAAA